CUGCUGCCUCCCGUAGGAGUCUGGGCCGUGUCUCAGUCCCAAUGUGGCCGUUCAACCUCUCAGUCCGGCUACCGAUUGUCGGUUUGGUGGGCCGUUACCCCGCCAACUGCCUAAUCGGACGCGAGCCCAUCUUUCAGCGGAUUGCUCCUUUGAUAUCAGUGCCAUGCGACUCCGAUAUUUUAUGCGGUAUUAGCGUUCGUUUCCAAACGUUAUCCCCCUCUGAAAGGCAGGUUGCUCACGUGUUACUCACCCGUCCG
rnacentral:rRNA from 1 species